rnacentral:rRNA from 1 species
GACGAACGCUGGCGGCAGGCUUAAUACAUGCAAGUCGAGGGGCAGCAGGUCUGUAGCAAUACAGAUGUUGGCGACCGGCAAACGGGUGCGGAACACGUACAGAACCUUCCUUCGAGCGGGGAAUAGCCCAGAGAAAUUUGGAUUAAUACCCCAUAGUAUAUUAGAGUGGCAUCACUUUAAUAUUAAAGAUUUAUCACUUGAAGAUGGCUGUGCGGCUGAUUAGGAGUUGGCGGGGUAACGGCCCACCAAGCCAGCGACU